GACGAACGCUGGCGGCGUGCUUAACACAUGCAAGUCGAACGGAAAGGCCCUGCUUUUGUGGGGUGCUCGAGUGGCGAACGGGUGAGUAACACGUGAGUAACCUGCCCUUGACUUUGGGAUAACUUCAGGUAACUGGGGCUAAUACCGGAUAGGAGCUCCUGCUGCACGGUGGGGGUUGGAAAGUUUCGGCGGUUGGGGAUGGACUCGCGGGUUAUCAGCUUGUUGGUGGGGUAGAGGCUCACCAAGGCUAUGACGGGUAGCCGGCGUGAGAGGGUGACCGGCGAACAUGGAGCUGGGACGGGGCCGGGACUCCUGCGGGGAGCGGAAGUGGGGAAUAUUGCACGGAGGGCGGAAGCGUGUUGCAGCCAUGCCGCGUGUAUGGAGAAGGCCUUCGGGUGGUAAAGUAGUUUGAGCGGGGAGGAAGGGAGUAAAGUUAAUACCAUUGCUCAUUGACGUUCCCCGCAGAAGAAGCACCGGCUAACUACGUG
rnacentral:rRNA from 1 species